UUUUAAUGGUUUUCGCAAUAAUAUAUGUAGUUAAAUGGAAAAUUUAGUCUAGCUUGGUAUAACGAUAUUGAUCAAAACUUUUAUAUGCCUCAAAUUAUUAUUGAGACAUUUCAGUUUAAAUAUUGUAAUGAUGUUUUCCAGUAUUUGCUGAGUUAUUGAAGCAUAGUAAAAGAUAUCGGUUAUGAAUUUCGAACUGUGAACUCUGAAAGAAGUUCUUUUAGAGUUCAAUGAUUAAGAAAUAACUAAUAACGAAUUGAUAUUUUAUACUUAUUAUAAAUAUGCUUCUAUGAUUCAUAGUACGAUAAAUAGCAUAAUAUAGAACGAAUUUACUUGGUUAUUGAAUGGAAUAUCGAUAAUUAAUACGUUUUCAAAUUGAAAAUUGGCAUAUUCUACAAGAAUCUUGAAAUUAUUUUAUAAUUCGCCAAAGGAACGAUCAUAGAUAUGUUGGGUUUGACAACUGAAUAAGGAGAAAAUUGACCUUGGGAAUGAACAUGGGCGUAUCAUUUGGCGCGUUGGAAGGAAAUUUUCAAUGGAAAUAUUUAGCACGUUUUUUUUCGAUUUUGACGACUUUUUUCGUAUUUCCUUUGAAUAAAUCACAAAAAGCGAUGCUUUUAUAUAUUACGAUGGAUUUACGUCCAUACUUGGUAUUGGAUUUCGGCGACAGGUGUUAUGUAUGGAAUAAUUGCAAGUACGGAAACCGUUUUCUUUUUUUUUUUUUGAUAGAUAAAAAGCGAGGGCCGUAGGCCCGAGCCCGGUCUAUAGGUAACUAACAGCGAGGGCCGCAGGCCCGAGCCCUGUUUGUGAGGCGGGGAACAGCGAGGGCCGUAGGCCCGAGCCUGGUCUCUGGGUAACUAACUGCGAGGGCCGCAGGCCCGAGCCCUGUUUGUGAGGGGGGGAACAGCGAGGGCCGUAGGCCCGAGCACGGACGAUAGGCAACCAGCGAGGGCCGUAGGCCCGAGCCUGGUCGAAAAGUGAAUCAGCCCGUGAAGGGGAAUCCACCGACUAGGCGAAUCUAUCAGUAUAAGCGAAUCUAUCCAGUAUAGGCGAAUCUCCUGGCUCACUAUCUAUCAGUAUAGGCGUAUCUAUCAAUAUAGGCGAAUCUCCUGGCUCACUAGUCUAUAUAUACUAAAAUAAUUUCGGGUUAUGUAGACUAAAAUGAAGGAACAGUUUACUCGGCCGUGUUGGGUGCUAGAGAUUGGGGGUUUUCGCGAGAAGAAAGUAGAGAUUUCGAAUUAGUUCCGAAUGGAGCCGCUUUUUUCGAUUUCGAUCUCGGAUAUUUUUAAAUUAAUUCGCGAAAAUGACGAAUUUUCGUAAAAAUUUUUGCCCUCUAAGAUGGUAAGUAACGGGUGCACAGACGUUUCGGAAAAUAUGGGUCCGGAAAAAUGCCUAUUCUUAAUGGAUAAAGUUGGUGAGGAUAAAUUGAUGGCCGUGUAAUCCUUCUCCGAGAACGAUAUAAUCGUUUGAAACAUACGUUACUUUCUAUUUCGGAACGGAAAUGUUUGAAAAAAGCGUAAGAAAAUGGUCAGUUUUGACGUCUAUCAUCGAACAUUUCAAUCGCUGACAGUUGUCGUGAAAUGGAACAUUCUAUUUCGCGAAAAAGGGGCGGUCGCUCAAAAGUUCGUUUGUCGUAAUUAUUAUGAGCAAUAUUUUUAAUUUCUGAUAUAAUUUAGAACGAAUUCAAUUGAUUUUUGAAUGGAAAAUCGAUAAUUAAUACGUUUUCAAAUUGAAAAUUUGCAUAUUUCACACCAAUCUUGAAAAUAUUUCAUAAUCAUCAUUACGACACUGAGGGAGGUUCGAUGAAAUUUCAUAUGACAUUUCGAGAAAUCACUCUACAGUUAUCAGUUUUCACUGUUUUCAGCAUAAUAUCGAACGAUUCCGAGCGGUUAUUGAAUGAAAUAUCGAUAAAUAAUACGUUUUCUAAUCAAAAUAUAGCAUAUUUCACAAAUAUUAUGGAUCGUACAUGGUUAUAAUAAUUCUUGGUCUAUGAUGAAAUAUGAUUGAUAGAGGUUAUGUCAAAUUGGGGAAACUUGAUUUAUUUCACAAGUCGUUGUGUAUAAGAAAAACUCGACAAUCCAUCAAAUAAUGCCUUCGUGAAUGGAGAUGUGAGAAGUGCAUUCCAACAGUACAUCAUCAGAAUGAAACAAAUAUUCCCAAACAAGGUGUAGAAGUAUUGGUUAGUACCGUUAGAAUUUGAGUAAUACAAAUCAUAGUGUAUUGAAACAUUCGAUUUACCAAUCAAGUUUUAUGAAAUGUGGCGUUCACAUAUAGUGAAAAUGACUACUAAACACUUAUAUAUGCUAUAUGAAGAUGUAUUUUACAAUGAAUUGAUCCUUUCUGAUGGUUCGAAACUUCUCCUGAAAAACAAUGACAUAGAUAUUUGUUGAUCACUUCAAGAUGAGUUGAAUGUAUCAGAACGACCCUUGGAAGAGAAUUCAAUUUGAGAGAGCAACCUCGGAGCAUGCAGAACAAUUCAAGGGUAGAUGAGCGAAGGAUAUGUCAAAUUUUACUUUUUCAUAGAGAGUAAAUAGCAGGACUUGAAAAUCAAAUUAUUUGUAACUAUUCAAGUGGAUGAAAAUUGUGAUGUGGUAUGUAGAAACAGAUUCCAGUGGAUUUUGCCAGAUAUCGAAUGAUGAGAACUGAUAUUUUUGCGCUGCCACUUUUGAAAAGUUAUACUAGGAUGGAAAAUCAUUUGAAGUAAUCUGAGCAAAAUGUUUAUAUCUUGCAACUCUUGAAAGUUAAGAAAUAUAUUAUUACAUAAUAUUGUAGGAAAGAUAAUUUUGAGGGUUUAUUUCCAAAUAUAUGUAACAGCUUAAUAUCAGAGGUUCAUGCUAAUGUAUUAAUAAAAUUCACAUUUCAAGAAGAAUGUACGAUACUGUUAUAUUCUUCAAUCAAUAAAUAUUCUUACAUUGCCCA